rnacentral:rRNA from 1 species
UCUGAGACAGGUGCUGCAUGGCGUGUCGUCAGCUCGUGUUGUGAAAUGUUGGGUUAAGUCCCGCAACGAGCGCAACCCUUAUCCUUUGUUGCCAGCGGCUCGACCGGGAACUCAAAGGAGACUGCCGGUGAUAAACCGGAGGAAGGUGGGGAUGACGUCAAGUCAUCAUGGCCUUACGGCCAGGGCUACACACGUGCUACAAUGGCGCAUACAAAGAGAAGCGACCUCGCGAGAGCAAGCGGACCUCAUAAAGUGCGUCGUAGUCCGGAUUGGAGUCUGCAACUCGACUCCAUGAAGUCGGAAUCGCUAGUAAUCGUAGAUCAGAAUGCUACGGUGAAUACGUUCCCGGGCCUUGUACACACCGCCCGUCACACCAUGGGAGUGGGUUGCAAAAGAAGUAGGUAGCUUAACCUUCGGGAGGGCGCUUACCACUUUGUGAUUCAUGACUGGGGUGAAGUCGUAACAAGGUAGGCGUAGCGAG